AUCCUCUCUAACUUAUCCUUCAGUAUCAAAUUUGAAGGAUUGUUUUGAGGGGGUCU
rnacentral:pre_miRNA from 1 species